GAGAUGCGCAGUGCUGCCCCUUUCUAUGGGCAGGGCCGAAGGUCCGCGUGUAAAAGUACCCAGUCCCUGGUAACCUGACACUUCCCUUUUAAAAGCCACCUUUUGUCUAUCUCUGGCCUGCCACGAUUCUUCCUGUGCUCCAUAGGAGGACCCAUUGGACCCCCGGGCUGGCUGCAGGGCCCACACCUGGGUUAGACCUCGCACAGGGACGCUGCUGCCACUGUAAUAAAGCGUGCCUACACGCUUCUGAAACUGGUGUAGGAACAACCUCAGUUCUGUGAAAGGCGGACGCAGCAGGACAGAAUCUCCGUGGACAUCUGUCUGGAGGAGCAAUUUUACUGCGACAUUUUAAAGAAACAAAUUUAAUUGAUUUCCAAGGGUGUCCAUCGCGCUUCCUUCACUGCCUUGAUCAUGUCGGGGUCACCACCUGCGGGGGUUUGUCCUGCAGACCCUGACUCAACGACGGAUGAAUAAUGUACACUGACACAGAUCUUAUGCUUGUCAGUCCUGCUGAGCAUCCAGGCCACUUACAGACUCCAAGAAGAGUCCUGUCAGCCACGGCUCUGACUUGUUGGCCCUCCCGGCAUUUAUUUAGCACACAUUUAAUGACAGAAGUCUCAGGCUGGAAACACUCUUUUUGUAGAACAUACAAAUGGACAUUUCUAAGCACAUUGAGGCCUAUAAUGAAAAAUCAAAUAUCCCACAAUGAAAACUAGAAGGAAGCUAUCUGUGAUAAUGCUUUGUGGUGUAUGGAUUCAUCUCACUGACUGAAACCUGAGUUUUGAUUCACCAGGUUAAAAACGCUCUUUUUGU
rnacentral:lncRNA from 10 species